GACGAACGCUGGCGGCGUGCCUAAUACAUGCAAGUAGAACGCUGAAGGGAGAGCUUGCUCUUCUGGAUGAGUUGCGAACGGGUGAGUAACGCGUAGGUAACCUGCCUGGUAGCGGGGGAUAACUAUUGGAAACGAUAGCUAAUACCGCAUAACAUUGACUAUUGCAUGAUAGUCAAUUGAAAGGUGCAAAUGCACCACUACCAGAUGGACCUGCGUUGUAUUAGCUAGUUGGUGGGGUAACGGCUCACCAAGGCGACGAUACGUAGCCGACCUGAGAGGGUGAUCGGCCACACUGGGACUGAGACACGGCCCAGACUCCUACGGGAGGCAGCAGUAGGGAAUCUUCGGCAAUGGACGGAAGUCUGACCGAGCAACGCCGCGUGAGUGAAGAAGGUUUUCGGAUCGUAAAGCUCUGUUGUAAGAGAAGAAACGAGUGUGAGAAGUGGAAAAGUUUCAC
rnacentral:rRNA from 1 species